rnacentral:sRNA from 1 species
UAAUUGUUUUAGAGCUUCUACAUUUAGGCUGCUGGAGCGCUGCAUGCUUUAGGGCUCUGAGAUCC